UUGAUCCUGCCGGACCUGACUGCUAUCGGAUUGAUACUAAGCCAUGCGAGUCGUUGCAGCAAUGCAAGGCAAACGGCUCAGUAACACGUAGUCAACCUAACCUGUAGACGGGGAUAACCUCGGGAAACUGAGAAUAAUACCCGAUAGGCCACGGUGCCUGGAAUGGCCCGCGGCUCAAAUGAUUUAUCGCUGCAGGAUGGGACUGCGGCCUAUCAGCUUGUUGGUGAGGUAAUGGCCCACCAAGGCGAUAACAGGUACGGGCUCUGAGAGGAGAGGCCCGGAGAUGGGUACUGAGACACGGACCCAGGCCCUAUGGGGCGCAGCAGGCGAGAAAACUUUGCAAUGUGCGAAAGCACGACAAGGUUAACCCGAGUGGUUCCUGCUUAGGGAACCUUUUGUCAGUCCUAAAAGCACUGACGAAUAAGGGGUGGGCAAGUUCUGGUGUCAGCCGCCGCGGUAAAACCAGCACCUCAAGUGGUCAGGAGGAUUAUUGGGCCUAAAGCAUCCGUAGCCGGCCGUGUAAGUUUUCGGUUAAAUCCACGCGCUCAACGCGUGGGCCGCCGGGAAUACUGCACGGCUAGGGAGUGGGAGAGGUAGACGGUACUCCGUAGGAAGGGGUAAAAUCCUGUGAUCUAUGGAUGACCACCUGUGGCGAAGGCGGUCUACUAGAACAUGUCCGACGGUGAGGGAUGAAAGCUGGGGGAGCAAACUGGAUUAGAUACCCGGGUAGUCCCAGCUGUAAACUAUGCAAACUCGGUGAUGCACUGACCUUUGUCAGUGCAGUGUCGCAGGGAAGCCGUUAAGUUUGCCGCCUGGGAAGUACGUACGCAAGUAUGAAACUUAAAGGAAUUGGCGGGGGAGCACCACAAGGGGUGAAGCCUGCGGUUC
rnacentral:rRNA from 1 species